CGCUGGCGGCGUGCUUAACACAUGCAAGUCGAACGCGAAAGGGACUUCGGUCCUGAGUAAAGUGGCGCACGGGUGAGUAACGCGUAGAUAACCUGUCUUCAUGUCUGGAAUAAUACGCCAAAGGGGUACUAAUACCGGAUAUUCUUGCUUUUCAUAAGUUAUGCAAGCAAAGGUGGCCUCUGCAUAUGCUACUGCAUGAAGAGGGGUCUGCGUACCAUUAGCUAGUAGGUGGGGUAAUGGCCUACCUAGGCGACGAUGGUUAGCGGGUCUGAGAGGAUGAUCCGCCACACUGGCACUGGAACACGGGCCAGACUCCUACGGGAGGCAGCAGUGAGGAAUAUUGCGCAAUGGGGGAAACCCUGACGCAGCGACGCCGCGUGAGUGAGGAAAGGCCUUCGGGUCGUAAAGCUCUGUCAAGAGGAAAGAAGUGUACAAUGGCUAAUACCUGUUGUAUUUGACGGUACCUCUAAAGGAAGCACCGGCUAACUCCGUGCCAGCAGCAGC
rnacentral:rRNA from 1 species